ACCCAUGCGGUAAGCACAUAGCGAACAAUUUUCUUUCGCCUUUUACUAAAGAAUACCGUGUGCCUGCCGCUCUAUUGUGGCAUACGCUUAUUUUUGGAGGGGUUGAUCUCACUGGAUAU
rnacentral:snRNA from 1 species